rnacentral:tRNA from 1 species
GAGGGUGUAGCUCAAAGUAGCAGAGCACAAGCUUAGCAUGCAAGGGGUCCUGGGUUCCAUCCCCAGCACCUCCU